rnacentral:rRNA from 1 species
AGCAGCCGCGGUAAUUCCAGCUCCAAUAGCGUAUAUUAAAGUUGUUGCAGUUAAAAAGCUCGUAGUUGAAUUUCGGGGUCAGUAGGUUGGUCAUGCCACUGGUAUGCACUGGUCUCACUGAUUCCUCCUUCCUGAUGAGCCGUAAUGCCAUUAAUUUGGUGUUGCGGGGAAUCUGGACUGUUACUUUGAAAAAUUAGAGUGUUUAAAGCAGGCUAACGCUUGAAUACAUUAGCAUGGAAUAAUGAAAUAGGACGAUCGAUCCUAUUUUGUUGGUUUCUAGGAUUGACGUAAUGAUUAAUAGGGAUAGUUGGGGGCAUUAGUAUUCAAUUGUCAGAGGUGAAAUUCUUGGAUUUAUUGAAGACUAACUACUGCGAAAGCAUUUGCCAAGGAUGUUUUCAUUAAUCAAGAACGAAAGUUAGGGGAUCGAAGACGAUCAGAUACCGUCGUAGUCUUAACCAUAAACUAUGCCGACUAGGGAUCGGAUGAUGUUAAUUUUUAAUGACUCU